GGAGUUGUAGCUCAGUGGUAGAGUACAUGCCUAGUAUGUGUGAGGCACCGGGUUCAAUCCUCAGCACCA
rnacentral:tRNA from 1 species